GACGUGAACCAAUUAAGUUGAAUGCAGUUUUACGUCUGACGUCAUUACGCAAGCUUUGCCCGAGACAGAUCCACUUCUUGUACCGACCGCUUGUGCAGCCGCCAUUUCUUCUGACCAUCGACUGUCCACCGGAUUGUAAAACAGCCUGGAGCCAAGCAUCAUCAGACCAUAGAAGAUUGCCAUGGCAAGUUCAAAACCUGCAAGACUGAAGGUGAUUCUAGGAGAGAGCAACACUGAAAAACUGACUCUUCCAAAUGGCAUACCAGAUUCUCUGGAUGAUCUUCUCAGCAAGGUGAAGGAUACCUUUGGUUUAAAGACCAACAUCAGACUGCAAUAUAUGGACAAAGACUUUGGUAAUGACUUCUUCAACCUCAGCUCAACUUCUGACCUUGUGGACUUGGGAACAGUCAAGGUGAUUCAAGAAGAAGCAGUUCAACCUUUUGUUGAUGUCAUUGAAACAGCUCCAUCUUCUUCUGCAGUUCACUCAGAUGACAGCAGUUCUUUAGCUUCAAAUGACACUAUACUCCUCUCCUCCCCUGAAUCCUUCUCAUCGCGAACAAAACAAUGGCCAGCCAACUUUCCCAUUCCCAUGUUUUCGUAUGACACUGAACGUCAGCUACAGAAGGGGAAUUCUGAGUAUCAGGCAAAAAACAAAAUAUUGACAGUCACCCCACGAAUGAAGACUGACAUCCUAAAUAGAUUAGUAGAAGAGAUCUACAGAUACAGAGCCUAUCCAGAGGACGCACAGUUCUGUGUAGUUGCAGAGGCCUUGA